CGUCCCCUUCUCCUAUUAUAAGGUCCCAAAUACUAACCUGAAGUAUAUACAUAAACAUACAUGUAUUUCUCCUACCCCUAUUUCAAACAGAUAUGGUAGGACAAGUUUAAAUUCUAACACAUAUUGAGAAGAGCUGAGAAUAUGAAACACAAGCCAACCCUCCCCCUUCAGUUUCACCCAGCACGGUGUGCUCCUCAGCCGACUGGGGUCACGAACGUCGCACGCUGAGCUCCUGCCCUGGGUGCGGCCGUGCACCACUGACCGAGGCGGAGGAAGGCGGCCUUCUGCUCACUGAGAAGGACCCACACUUUCAGCCAGAGGCUUUGCAACCACUACGUCAAGGUCGCAGUAUCUGAAGGAGGGGCGCUGCAGAACCCAGUGUGACCUCUGUGUGUGGUGUGAUGUGCGAUCUUGGGCACCGCCUUGCCCCGCGAGCUCUGGGCCUUGGUGAGGGGUUCAGAGCCAGAGCAGACAAGAGCACAACCUGGAACCCUGGAGGAUCCACAGGUCAGAAUUAGAUGCCGGCCCAGAGCAGGUGUCUAAAACGGGGUGAGUGAGCAUGAAAAAGCCAUUUCCCAUCCAAAUGGGAGGGUCGGAAAGCACAGACUCCACGGCACCUUCAGCUGGAGAUGACAGCUGUCCCUCAAAACGCACCAGCUCCCCAGGCAGCCGAGGGGCCUGGCCCCCGAAAGCUUCUCCAAUGCAGCCUUCCCGUCUCUGCCUGAGCCCCGAGGUGCAGGUGGAGCUCCAGGCUCUCCGUCUAGAGCUGGGCGGGGAGAGUCAGACUACAAUUAGAAUACAGUUCUUCCAAGGACUCCAGGACGAAGGGCUGUCUGUGACUCACAGGCCUGGGGUUGCUUUAAAACCAGGCCACCGAGUCUAUGACACUCCUGGCACUGAGAACUGGGGGCGGGGCGUGUCCCCCUCCCUGGAAUCUGAACUUGUGUCCAAUGGAGGCUGGGGACUUGCGAGGCGAGGUCCUCAGAGGCCAGGCCACCGGGUCCUGCUCUCUGCUGCUCUGAGCAUGGAGUGGAGCCAGGGCGCCCGGCCUCCUGGCGAGCCCACAGGGAGCUGUUCUGUGUAAGGGGCGUGGCUGCCCCCAGCCGGGAAGAAGCCUCCAGGUGAGCCCACGAGCAGCCACCUGCGCCAUCCCCAGCCGUUAAACCUUUCCCGCUGGGGCUGGCAUCAUGGGGCAGACACGUCAUUUGCGCUGCACACCAUCGGAAUUCCCGAGUCACAGGAGCUGUGAGUACAGUCAGAACGGUGGCUGGUUUCCAGAGGCCUGCCUGUCCGCGAGCCUUUGGGGGGUUCUGAGCUGCACCCCAGAUUUUAAAUUGAACACUCAACAGUCUGCUGUGUUCCUCUCUUCUCAGGAACCGAUGGGAAGGAGUGUAACCAGGAGCCCUGGAAACCGGAACUGAAGGCAGUUCUGCAGAAGGAAGCUUUGUGGAGCGAGCAGGCCCAGAGGGAUUUCAGAGCAACCCUUGGAUGGAGAGCUCCACAUGUGAUUCUUCAAGACCACCCUUCAGGAUUCCUCUGUGGAACUUCCUCAAAAGGCAGAGCUUCCGACAGCAGGCAUGGCCGGCUCUGAGGGUGCAGCCGGGUGAUACUCUGCCCAGGGGCUGCGGGGGGAUCACCAGCGUGACUGAAAAGUGAUGGCUGAAGUGGAGGUUUCCUUUUCAGAGUGUUUUCCCAGCAGAAGGAAGGGUGAGGUCGCUGCCUCUGCCCUUGGCCCUGCCAGGCCUGUCUGGGGGCGUCAGACCUCAACCCUGCUCUGGGUGGGGGGCCUGUGGCCUGCCAGCCGUGCACUCAUACGGCGUCCUGGCUUUAAGAGGCUUUCUGCACAGCUACCUUUUCUGACCCAGAGAGAAGAGAAGAAAUGAAUAAAAUGGGUGGAGCUGAAAGAGCUUCCUCUGGUUGUACCUCCCUGCUGCAAAGGGUUAAAAAAGAAUUCCUUUUCCUCAAGGGAGUCGGUUACUGGCAGCUCACAUGUGCUGCUGGAGAAGGAAAUGGCAACCCACUCCAGUAUUCUUGCCCAGCGAAUCCUGUGGCCAGAGGA